rnacentral:rRNA from 1 species
AUAGCGUAUAUUAAAGUUGUUGAGGUUAAAAAGCUCGUAGUUGAACCUUGGCCCUGGCUGGCUGGUCCGCCUCACCGCGAGCACUGGUCCGGCCGGGGCUUUCCCUCUGGGGAUCCUCAUGCCCUUCACUGGGUGUGUUGGGGAACCAGGACUUUUACUGUGAACAAAUCAGAUCGCUCAAAGAAGGCUCUCGCUCGAAUGCUUCAGCAUGGAAUAAUAGAAUAGGACGUGUGGUUCUAUUUUGUUGGUUUCUAGGACCACCGUAAUGAUUAAUAGGGAUAGUCGGGGGCAUCAGUAUUCAAUCGUCAGAGGUGAAAUUCUUGGAUCGAUUGAAGACUAACUACUG